CACACGCAAGUACCCCUGUCUCAUUAGCACAUAUAAAAAUUACCAAUCAGGUGAAGAGGCCUGAAUACAAUAAAAAGACAAAAAGACCCUAUGGAGCUUUAUUUAACACCUCAAUACUACCAGCUCACACCACCCUACUUUGAGUAAAUAAAUUUAGUUGGGGCGACUAAGGAAAACUAUAAAUCUUCCUCAUAAAAAAGAAAAUAAAUCCUCAUUGAUCCGUUAUACGAAUAAAGACACAGCUACCCUAGGGAUAACAGGCUAAUUCUUCUCGAGAGCCCAAAUUGACAGAAGAGAUUGGCACCUCGAUGUUGGCUUAGGGUUCCUACAAGGUGCAGAAGCCCUGUAAGUGGGUUUGUUCAACCCUUAAAACCCU
rnacentral:rRNA from 1 species